rnacentral:rRNA from 1 species
AUUGAACGCUGGCGGCAGGCCUAACACAUGCAAGUCGAGCGAGCGGCGGACGGGCGAGUGAUUGAUGAGGAUCUGCCUGACGUAGGGGGAUAACUACUGGAACAGGUAGCUAAUACCGCUUACCAGCGGGUGAACCCAUAGGGGAUUAGCUAGUAGGUGGGGUAAAGGCUCACCUAGGCGACGAUGUCUAGCUGGCUUGAGAGGAUGAUCAGCCACACUGGGACUGAGACACGGCCCAGACUCCUACGGGAGGCAGCAGUGGGGAAUAUUGCACAAUGGGCGAAAGUCUGAUGGAGCCAUGCCGCGUGAAUGAAGAAGGCCUUAGGAUUGUAAAGUACUUUCAGCGGGGAGGCGUUAUCCGAAGAAAAAGCACCGGCUAACUCCGUGCCAGCAGCCGCGGUAAUUC